GACGAACGCUGGCGGCGUGCUUAACACAUGCAAGUCGAACGGAAAGGCCCUGCUUUUGUGGGGUGCUCGAGUGGCGAACGGGUGAGUAACACGUGAGUAACCUGCCCUUGACUUUGGGAUAACUUCAGGAAACUGGGGCUAAUACCGGAUAGGAGCUCCUGCUGCAUGGUGGGGGUUGGAAAGUUUCGGCGGUUGGGGAUGGACUCGCGGCUUAUCAGCUUGUUGGUGGGGUAGUGGCUUACCAAGGCUUUGACGGGUAGCCGGCCUGAGAGGGUGACCGGCCACAUUGGGACUGAGAUACGGCCCAGACUCAUACGGGAGGAAGCAGUGGGGAAUAUUGCACAAUGGGCGGAAGCAUGAUGCAGCAACGCCGCGUGCGGGAUGACGGCCUUCGGGUUGUAAACCGCUUUCGCCUGUGACGAAGCGUGAGUGACGGUAAUGGGUAAAGAAGCACCGGCUAACUACGU
rnacentral:rRNA from 1 species